AUGUCUCUUAAGGUGAAUCCAGCCCCACCAGUGCCUGGAGCCAUAAGCACUCAGUAUUUAUAUUUGGAAAGGUCUCCGGCAUCAYCUGGAAAAAGCCCAGUCCAGAGAGCAUCAACCCAGCAUGCACUGGAAAAAGACGCCAUCCCACGUUACCUGCUGAUGUGUUUGCUCCCGUCCCGAGGCACACGCAAGAAAUUCAAGGUCCUUGAUCGCCCUGGGAAGAGAAGGUGUUUGCUUUACACAAGCCUCAGGCUCAGCUCCCCAUCCCGGUGCAAGAGGAGCCACACAGACUCAUGSGAUGAGCUACGCUUCAGAAGACCCACCUGAAUCUUCUUCUUACAGACUGGGAAUGGCUGGGAAAUCUUGGACACGCAGGCCCUGAGUGGAGUUCAGCAAAACCAUGGAGAGGAUUGCGUAAGGCUUGAAUGCAAAAAAGGAAGAUUUUUUUUUUUUAAAUCWCUGCUUGAAGAUAUGGCAAGAAGAGCAUGUAAAAGCCAGUAGUGAGGGAGAAGCCUGGAAAAUCCCAAGCAAGGCUCUACUCGUGGCUGGAGGCCAGAAGAUUGUCCAAYGUAAAAGCUGGCCAAUGCUGAAUCUCAAGACGUUCCUCAGGGAUGGGGAGUCAUGGACAGAUGUGCACUCUGGGAUCCAGCUGUGCCACUGGACAUGCUCCCCUCUCCGGCUGCYCCUCCCCACCCACCAGCAGCUCCAGCAACAUCCGCCAGCUUAGUGCAAAGCAGCAGCAUCCCUCACGUGGACGCGGCUGAUUUUGGUUAGAGAUCGCUCACAUGAUACCGUCCAUUGACAGAGCUGUGCAGGCCGUCGUUUCCAGGCGAGAACAACAAUGAAUAGCCGGGGCGUGGUGACAUUUUUAGCUGGCACAGCUGUUUGUGGGGCGAACAUCUGUCCACGGCUGCAGAGGAGAGGGAGGUCACCGAGCGGGAACGCUUGGAGGCAGUUAAGGAUUGCAGGGAGGAGGUCAGUGAGCCACGCAGCAAAACUAGCUGGACCUCAUCAAAAGACGUAAGAAGGGCUUUUACACCAGAAAAUGUAGCAGGGAAGUGAGUGAAGAGGGAAAUGAAACUAUUGACGAGCCGAAAAGGCCGAUACCCUGAGCCCUCUUUAAAAUGCUGUCCUCAGAGAGUGCAGAGGGAAAGGAAGGGAGAUGCUCUGCAAGUAGCUAUUGAUAAAGAGAAAGAAGAGGUUCUUGGAAAAUCUUAAAUUUAAUAAAUCAGUCUGGGCAGGUUGCA
rnacentral:lncRNA from 1 species